AUUGAACGCUGGCGGCAGGCCUAACACAUGCAAGUCGAGCGGAGCGGCGGACGGGGGAGUAAUGCCUAGGAAUCUGCCUGGUCGCGGGGGAUAACGUCCGGAACCGGGCGCUAAUACCGCUAACUAUCAGAAGCGCCUAGGGCGGAUUAGCUAGUUGGUGGGGUAAAGGCCUACCAAGGCGACGAUCAGUAACUGUGCUGAGAGGAUGAUCAGUCACACUGGAACUGAGACACGGUCCAGACUCCUACGGGAGGCAGCAGUGGGGAAUAUUGUACAAUGGGCGAAAGCCUGAUCCAGCCAUGCCGCGUGUGUGAAGAAGGUCUUCGGAUUGUAAAGCACUUUAAGUUGGGAGGCGUUACCAACAGAAUAAGCACCGGCUAACUUCGUGCCAGCCGCCGCGGUAAUAC
rnacentral:rRNA from 1 species